UCCAGAUCGCAGCUCGAAGACGUCCGAGAAAUGAUCAGCAUUUCACGGAAGAGCUCGGGCCCUCUAUUGCUCUCCAGAGAGCGGAGCCACUUCGGGCAGCCAGGCCAUGAGAGCUCAGGAGCUGCAGCUUCAGAUCGAAUACCGCAGCGACGGGGGAAGAGCAGAUGAGGCGCAAAGCCGAAUCGAGCAUCCAUCCACCAUGAACUGCACCCGAUUUCCCACUAACAGGAGGGACGCCUGAAAACUGGCCUUCGACCUCAAGAGCAAGCAUCCACCUUGGCACCUGAACCAAUUUUCCUCCUUGGCCGCUCAUCUCUCUUAACACCCUCUUCCUUGAGCUCCAUCCUUAGGGGCUCCUCCGCAGGGCAUAUUCCCGCCAUGCGUGGAGCUCGUCAGUUGUGUUUUCAAUUUUCACCACGCUUUGACGUGGUGAUCGCUUGAGUGGAGAGCCAUGUUGGCACAAGGCGAAGGGAUCAAAUGAGGAGCAGGAGGAACGCUCUACCCGAGUGCAAGGUGCGAUGACUGAGACCGAAUCAGUUUAAAAGACCUUGCCGAAGGUACAAAAACGAAUACGUGGUGAAGCUUGAAUUACAACCCAG